UAAGUGGCAUAUAUUUUCUUUAUUUUGUAGUAAAUCGAUAGAACUAUAUCACAGGGAUAUAUAUAUAUGAUUUUCUUAUUUGAUGCCAACUGAACUUUUUUAUAAUCAAACUGAAAAUAAAAUAAAAUCUAUUUCUUACUUGAGAAUAUUUUUCUGACUACAUAGCAUAAAUCGAGAUACACAAGUCAUUUGAGCAUGGAUUUGUACGACGACGGCAAUAUGAUACUGAAGGAGAUUCAAACACUUGAAGGACACACCGAUAGGGUUUGGAGCUUAGCUUGGAAUCCAGCCACAGCAACUUCUCCUGUCUUCGCUUCUUGUAGCGGCGAUAAGACUGUUCGAAUCUGGGAGCAGACUCCUUCCACUCGCCUUUGGCACUGCAAGGCAGUUCUGGAAGAAACACACACUAGAACUGUUCGGUCGUGUGCCUGGUCACCUUCUGGGAAAUUGUUGGCAACCGCCAGCUUUGAUGCCACCACUUCCAUUUGGGAAAAUAUUAGCGGUGAUUUUGAAUGUGUUUCUACUUUAGAGGGUCAUGAAAAUGAAGUGAAAAGUGUGUCUUGGAAUGCAUCUGGUUCGUUCCUUGCGACGUGUAGUCGGGAUAAGACUGUUUGGAUUUGGGAAGUGAUGCCUGGGAAUGAAUUCGAGUGUGCUUCGGUUUUGCAAGGACACACACAAGAUGUUAAAAUGGUUAAAUGGCAUCCAACUAUGGAUGUUUUGUUUUCUUGUAGUUAUGAUAAUACUGUUAAGGUUUGGGCUGAGGAUGGCACUGGUGAUUGGCAUUGUGUUCAAACCUUAGGUGAAUCUAACAAUGGUCACUCUUCUACUGUCUGGGCACUUUCUUUUAACGCUGAAGGAGACAGAAUGGUUACUUGUAGUGAUGAUCUUACCCUAAAAAUAUGGGAAACAGAUGUUGGGAGGAUGGUGUUGGGUGAUGACCACGCUCCUUGGAAUCAUCUUUGCACUCUCUCAGGUUAUCAUGAUCGAACGAUCUUUUCAGUUCAUUGGUCAAGGGAAGGUAUUAUAGCAAGCGGAGCAGCUGAUGAUGGUCUACGGUUUUUUCUGGAGAACAAGGAUGGUUUGCAUGUCAAGUAUGUAGACAUAAACAACAUUACCAUGUUGACGGUCCUUCAUAUAAACUGUUGCUGAAAAGGGAAAAGGCUCACAAUAUGGACAUAAACUCAGUGCAAUGGGGCCCUGGGGAAACCCGGCUACUUGCUUCCACAAGUGAUGAUGGGAAAAUAAAGAUAUGGGAACUGGCAACUCUAACCUGAUACAACUUUUUGAUAAUGAUGGUUAUGAUUUCAUGAAGCACUAGACCCAACUUCUGGGAUCUUGAAAUUGAUACAUGUUUUAGAUAUAAAUCUUUUGUUAAUCUCCUGUUAUAAGUUGAUCAGUGUAGUGGAUGGAGCUGGGUUGACUUGACGUUUCUCUACAAUGGAAGUCGGAAUUUUUCAAUAUUAAAUAAAGCAUAUGUAUUUUUAUUCUUAAUGUAUUAUUUGACUGGUCAAAUUGGAGCGACUCAUGAUACUGGGUUUUAGAGCGAGACUGUAUAUAGUCUGCCAGAACUAAAUUGGGAGCAGAAAUAAAAUUAUCAGAGAUUGUAAUUUGGAUAUUAA